GUAGGUGGCAAGCGUUGUCCGGAAUUAUUGGGCGUAAAGCGCGCGCAGGCGGUCCUUUAAGUCUGAUGUGAAAGCCCACGGCUCAACCGUGGAGGGUCAUUGGAAACUGGGGGACUUGAGUACAGAAGAGGAAAGCGGAAUUCCAAGUGUAGCGGUGAAAUGCGUAGAGAUUUGGAGGAACACCAGUGGCGAAGGCGGCUUUCUGGUCUGUAACUGACGCUGAGGCGCGAAAGCGUGGGGAGCAAACAGGGAUUAGAUACCCUGGUAGUCCACGCCGUAAACGAUGAGUGCUAAGUGUUAGGGGCUUUCCGCCCCCCUUAGUGCUGCAGCUAACGCAUUAAGCACUCCGCCUGGGAGUACGGCCGCAAGGCUG
rnacentral:rRNA from 1 species